AUUCCCUAAGUGGGAAAAUUCUCGGGAACGACACAUCACUGGUAAGCACAAUACGUCAUUCUAGCAAAUUUUGCAAAAAUCGUGCAUUUUGUGUAUUUUGCAUUUUAUUUGCAAUCUACACUUUAAUACCUUCAAGGUGCGUCAUUCAUUUUUAAAACUCGAAGAGGUUAGACACGACACGAGUGCAUCUACUUGAUCAACAUGACGACGUCAUCUGAAGACAUCACGUACAUGUUCGAACAACAUGCGCAAGACCCGCUGGCAAACUUUGAUGAAGAUUAUCCAGAGUUGGCCAGACUCCACCGCGAACCAAAGAAGAGGAAGCCUGCCAAGCGAAAUGUUAGCGUGCAGUGCGUCUCAAAAAAAUACGUCAUAAGGACACAUCAUCCUUCGUGCUACAAAACCACCACACCCCGGGCACUCGACUAAUUAGAGUCCAAGUUGUCGAUCUAGAGAACAGUCCUCAAGUUACUCAUGACAACGGGGACCCUGAGGAAAACAUUUUAAUGAGCGCCCAGUACGUGGUACAUAAGGAUUCCUAUGAUGAAGUGUUAACGCAGACAGAAGCACUUAUCGCAAACAUAUCAAAAAAGUUGUGUAAUUAUCAUUUCUAGUGCAAUAAAUAUUUUAUAUUUA
rnacentral:lncRNA from 1 species